AUGCUCUUUCCUUCUCCUCUCCCUCAUACAACGACGGUACAACAAUCUUUUCAAAACCUUCUUUUCCGAUCAAACACCGUCGUUUCUCUCCGAUCUCGCCGCCGUAGUUGUUCUUCCCUAUUCGAUUCUGUUCUCGUGGUUCGUUCCAGCUUCACCGUGUCAGCUUCCGAUUUCAACUUAUUGGAUCCUCUUCGACGCAAUUUCUCACACAACCACUCAGUUUCCGUCUCAGUCACUUCAAUCCAGUCAACACAAGUGAAAACAGUAUACGAUGAGGAAUAG